rnacentral:lncRNA from 1 species
AUCUCCAAGAACCUUGUCAGCGCCUUCGAAAGCUACACCAGCUGCAACGAGAGCUGCCAAGGGGACAACUGUUCUUUGUGUUUCAACCCCACGUUCACCAACGUCACCAACGUCGAGGUCCCCGAGGUCCAAACAAGUGUCUGCACCAGGUACAUCCCGGUUGACUUCCAGCCCUUCUACUUCCCCGUUGUCACCAC